rnacentral:lncRNA from 1 species
AACAGCCUGAGGAGUGUAGGCAGGCAGUCAGUGAAGCAGCCUGGUGUCAGGUACAGACAGCGAGCAGCCUCCACGUCGGCCUCUAUCCUCUGCUGCAGUCACACAUGCAGACUGAGACAACAGGUGUUCAAGCAACUCUUCUUCGCACGGUCAUUUGAAACAGCAGAUGUCUGCAGCACAGUGGCCGUGAGUAACACACCUGCCACAUCACCACAACUACACAUCUGUCCACUGUUUAGAACAGCCCACACUCAGGCUACACACUUUCCUACUGCCAUAACAUCUGACAGAUUUCAAAGACUGUGUGAUGAUCUGUACUGUGCAAUAUGGAUGAAACAAGACUAUGAGUAAUAGAGGCAGUAAUUAAAAACAUGUCUGGAAAAGUAAAACUAAACUAAACUAAAACAAUGUCACAACAUGUGGCAGGAGAAAUAUUUCUGUUUCUAAGAUGCCAUUGUUAUAAAAGUAAGUAACCUUUUAAUAUUAAUACAAAAUUGCAGUUUUAGCCAUUGUUCCUUUGUGCAGCUGCAUUUGGACGUCUGCCAAUGAUAUCUCUACAACUUGGUAGCAGCAACUGAUAACGCUGCUCAGAUCCAGGCUUUCUGCACUCACACAUCCACACACGCUGCAAUUUGAGAAUCUGAAACAUCAACACCGCUGUUUUGCUCUGGUGUCAUCGGUAACUUAGUCCAUGACUGUGUCUUUGUCCGUGUGUUGGUGUGUACGCACACCUAUGACGGGGCCCAUGGCCCAUCUGUUGACUGCUUCCGUUGAUUGCUCGCUCCAGUAGCACUCUGGGAAAUGCUAAUGGAGGCAGUUAACGUCAGAUACAGGCGUAAGACAUCUGCAUUUGACCUGCCGUCACCCUGACAGACAGAAGGCUCAAAACAUGUAGAGACAGUCACUAAAUAAGACAAAACAUUAAUACAAAUGAAUGUCGUGGAAAUCUUUGUUUUUAAGAAAUCUACAGGACAAUGUCAGUGUGAUGAACCAUCUCAAAAUUUACUCUCAUGUCGACACGGAGUGGAUCACAAUCACAAUACUUCUAAGACGUAAGGCACAUCUUACUACAGCAUGUACAAAGUAUCCACUGAAGGACUGAGGACACAAGACCUGUAUUUAAACCAUUACAAAACCCCCACAUGUAAAUGUUGACGGGUCCUUGAUAUUGAAAAAACCCUUCCCCUUCUUAUCAGCAUUCUUUUGAUUAAAAGAAGUAAAAACACAAAUUCUUUCUAAACCAAAUGCUUGAUGACCCCCCAGGAACAACCAACAGCUGACAGCACAGCAUGUCAUGAUACCACAAGGUUUCCCACAUGAAUAUCACAGACCAUUGAUCAAUAGACAUGCU